GACGAACGCUGGCGGCGUGCUUAACACAUGCAAGUCGAACGGAAAGGCCCUGCUUGCAGGGUACUCGAGUGGCGAACGGGUGAGUAACACGUGGGUGAUCUGCCUGCACCUUGGGGUUAGCCUGGGGAACUGGGUCCAAAACCCGAAUGGUGCCAUUUUUUGGGGGAUGGUUGGAAAGUUUUUUCGGUGUAGGAUGGGCUCGCGGCCUAUCAGCCUGUUGGUGGGGUAAUGGCCUACCAAGGCGGCGACGGGUAGCCGGCCUGAGAGGGUGGACGGCCACAUUGGGACUGAGAUACGGCCCAGACUCCUACGGGAGGCAGCAGUGGGGAAUAUUGCACAAUGGGCGCAAGCCUGAUGCAGCGACGCCGCGUGGGGGAUGACGGCCUUCGGGUUGUAAACUCCGUUCGCUAGGGACGAAGCUUUUUGUGACGGUACCUAGAUAAGAAGCACCGGCUAACUACGUG
rnacentral:rRNA from 1 species